CGAAGGCGAGCUGUCUGGAAGUUUCCACCCGUCCCUGCUGAGCAACUACUAAAAAUGAAUUCAGAGACUAUGUGGACGGGACAAAGCAUACCAAGGAAACAGGCAUGACGUCUGCAAACACGAUAUCCCUAAAUGUAUCACCCCUAUCCUGACCUUCAAUCAGAUUCUAGGAAAGUUGGUAGGGUCAGAAAUGGAUAAUCUGUAAAGACCUAAAUGUUUGUUGAAGGAUUGCAAAAGUCCUUUGCUAGCAUGAAGGACAUGCAAACUGGGUAAGUAAUGGAGACUGUUCCUUGUUAUCUGUCUUUCAGUUUCCAGAAUAUUAUCUCUCCCUGAUAAACAGCUCUUUAUUUUUCUAUUCAGUACUAUUUCUAAGUACUUUUUUAUUGUGCUUUUUAGCUUAGUGUACUUCUUUUGUGUGAAGUGUUUUGGAAAUGAGAUUGUGAUUGUGUUUAUUUCUCUGAAACCUCUCUAAAUGCCUAUAUAUUCACACACACUGCUCAGUCAUUUCACAGCUAAGGCAAGUGCAAAACUCUAUACCUCUCCCAUGAUAAUGUUAUCAAGAGUUUAAGGUUCUUUGGAAAAAAGAAAGAAGUUGCUUUUCUAUUACAUUGGAGAAAAAUGGUUCCCAAAACACCACACUCCAAAAAAUCAACCACUUAGCAUAAUCCUAGAACUAGUUUAAAAACAUUUGAAUGAGCUUUAGAUGUAUAAUCCAGAACAAAUGGAUACAAACUGAAAUAAUAAACAAGAAAAAUGAUAUAAAGCUGAAUGGUGGUUUCCCCAGCAAAUGUUGAAAAAGCAGAAGCCAAUAUGGCCUAAUUCAUUGCCCAUCCUUGUCCAUUUCUCAAAGUUUCUGCUUCAUAUCAUUUUUAUGGAGAGGCAGACUAGAGAUUAAUCC